rnacentral:rRNA from 1 species
CAAUAGCGUAUAUUAAAGUUGUUGCAGUUAAAAAGCUCGUAGUCGGAUUUCGGGGCGGGCCGAGCGGUCUGCCGAUGGGUAUGCACUGUUCGGCGCGUCCUUCUUUCCGGAGACCGCGCCUACUCUUAGCUGAGCGGGCGCGGGAGACGGAUCGUUUACUUUAGAAAAAUCAGAGUGUUUCAAGCAGGCAUACGCCUUGAAUACAUUAGCAUGGAAUAAUAAGAUAGGACCUCGGUUCUAUUUUGUUGGUUUAUGGGACCGAAGUAAUGAUUAACAGGGACAGUUGGGGCCGGUUUAUAUUUCGUUGUCAGAGGUGAAAUUCUUGGAUUUACGAAAGAUAAACUUCUGCGAAAGCAUUCGGCAAGGAUGUUUUCAUUGAUCAAGAACGAAAGUUAGGGGAUCGAAGACGAUCAGAUACCAU